GACGAACGCUGGCGGCGUGCUUAACACAUGCAAGUCGAACGGAAAGGCCCUGCUUUUGUGGUGUGCUCGAGUGGAGAACGGGUGAGUAACACGUGAGUAACCUGCUCCUGACUUUGGGAUAACUUCAGGAAACUGGGGCUAAUACCGGAUAGGAGCUCCUGCUGCAUGGUGGGGGUUGGAAAUUUUCGUCGGUUGGGGAUGGACUCCCGGCUUAUCGGCUUGUUGGUGGGGUAGUGGCUUACCAAGGCUUUGACGGGUAGCCGGCCUGAGGGGGGGACCGGCCACAUGGGAACGGAGAUAGGGCCCAGACUCCUAGGGGGGGCAGCGGGGGGGAAUUUGGCACAAUGGGCGAAGGCCGAUGGAGGGAACGCCGCGGGCGGGAUGACGGCCUUGGGGUGUUAAACCGCUUUCGCCUGUGACGAAGCGUGAGUGACGGUAAUUGGUAAAGAAGCACCGGCUAACUACGUG
rnacentral:rRNA from 1 species